GGAUAUCUCAGCUGGUAGAGCAUACGACUCUUAAGCUCAGGGUUGUGGGUUUGAGCCCCACAUUAGGCA